GAUCCAGAGAUUUCCGAAUGGGGAAACCCAGCAUGAGUUAUGUCAUGUUAUCGAUAUGUGAAUACAUAGCAUAUCAGAAGGCACACCCGGAGAACUGAAACAUCUUAGUACCCGGAGGAAGAAAAAGAAAAUUCGAUUCCCUUAGUAGCGGCGAGCGAAACGGGAAGAGCCCAAACCAACAAGCUUGCUUGUUGGGGUUGUAGGACACUCUAUACGGAGUUACAAAGGACGACAUUAGACGAAUCAUCUGGAAAGAUGAAUCAAAGAAGGUAAUAAUCCUGUAGUCGAAAAUGUUGUCUCUCUUGAGUGGAUCCUGAGUACGACGGAACACGUGAAAUUCCGUCGGAAUCUGGGAGGACCAUCUCCUAAGGCUAAAUACUCUCUAGUGACCGAUAGUGAACCAGUACCGUGAGGGAAAGGUGAAAAGCACCCCGGAAGGGGAGUGAAAUAGAACCUGAAACCGUGUGCUUACAAGUAGUCAGAGCCCGUUAAUGGGUGAUGGCGUGCCUUUUGUAGAAUGAACCGGCGAGUUACGAUUUGAUGCAAGGUUAAGCAGUAAAUGUGGAGCCGUAGCGAAAGCGAGUCUGAAUAGGGCGUUUAGUAUUUGGUCGUAGACCCGAAACCAGGUGAUCUACCCUUGGUCAGGUUGAAGUUCAGGUAACACUGAAUGGAGGACCGAACCGACUUACGUUGAAAAGUGAGCGGAUGAACUGAGGGUAGCGGAGAAAUUCCAAUCGAACCUGGAGAUAGCUGGUUCUCUCCGAAAUAGCUUUAGGGCUAGCCUCAAGUGAUGAUUAUUGGAGGUAGAGCACUGUUUGGACGAGGGGCCCCUCUCGGGUUACCGAAUUCAGACAAACUCCGAAUGCCAAUUAAUUUAACUUGGGAGUCAGAACAUGGGUGAUAAGGUCCGUGUUCGAAAGGGAAACAGCCCAGACCACCAGCUAAGGUCCCAAAAUAUAUGUUAAGUGGAAAAGGAUGUGGCGUUGCCCAGACAACUAGGAUGUUGGCUUAGAAGCAGCCAUCAUUUAAAGAGUGCGUAAUAGCUCACUAGUCGAGUGACACUGCGCCGAAAAUGUACCGGGGCUAAACAUAUUACCGAAGCUGUGGAUUGUCCUUUGGACAAUGGUAGGAGAGCGUUCUAAGGGCGUUGAAGCAUGAUCGUAAGGACAUGUGGAGCGCUUAGAAGUGAGAAUGCCGGUGUGAGUAGCGAAAGACGGGUGAGAAUCCCGUCCACCGAUUGACUAAGGUUUCCAGAGGAAGGCUCGUCCGCUCUGGGUUAGUCGGGUCCUAAGCUGAGGCCGACAGGCGUAGGCGAUGGAUAACAGGUUGAUAUUCCUGUACCACCUAUAAUCGUUUUAAUCGAUGGGGGGACGCAGUAGGAUAGGCGAAGCGUGCGAUUGGAUUGCACGUCUAAGCAGUAAGGCUGAGUAUUAGGCAAAUCCGGUACUCGUUAAGGCUGAGCUGUGAUGGGGAGAAGACAUUGUGUCUUCGAGUCGUUGAUUUCACACUGCCGAGAAAAGCCUCUAGAUAGAAAAUAGGUGCCCGUACCGCAAACCGACACAGGUAGUCAAGAUGAGAAUUCUAAGGUGAGCGAGCGAACUCUCGUUAAGGAACUCGGCAAAAUGACCCCGUAACUUCGGGAGAAGGGGUGCUCUUUAGGGUUAACGCCCAGAAGAGCCGCAGUGAAUAGGCCCAAGCGACUGUUUAUCAAAAACACAGGUCUCUGCUAAACCGUAAGGUGAUGUAUAGGGGCUGACGCCUGCCCGGUGCUGGAAGGUUAAGAGGAGUGGUUAGCUUCUGCGAAGCUACGAAUCGAAGCCCCAGUAAACGGCGGCCGUAACUAUAACGGUCCUAAGGUAGCGAAAUUCCUUGUCGGGUAAGUUCCGACCCGCACGAAAGGCGUAACGAUUUGGGCACUGUCUCAACGAGAGACUCGGUGAAAUCAUAGUACCUGUGAAGAUGCAGGUUACCCGCGACAGGACGGAAAGACCCCGUGGAGCUUUACUGUAGCCUGAUAUUGAAAUUCGGCACAGCUUGUACAGGAUAGGUAGGAGCCUUUGAAACGUGAGCGCUAGCUUACGUGGAGGCGCUGGUGGGAUACUACCCUAGCUGUGUUGGCUUUCUAACCCGCACCACUUAUCGUGGUGGGAGACAGUGUCAGGCGGGCAGUUUGACUGGGGCGGUCGCCUCCUAAAAGGUAACGGAGGCGCUCAAAGGUUCCCUCAGAAUGGUUGGAAAUCAUUCAUAGAGUGUAAAGGCAUAAGGGAGCUUGACUGCGAGACCUACAAGUCGAGCAGGGUCGAAAGACGGACUUAGUGAUCCGGUGGUUCCGCAUGGAAGGGCCAUCGCUCAACGGAUAAAAGCUACCCCGGGGAUAACAGGCUUAUCUCCCCCAAGAGUUCACAUCGACGGGGAGGUUUGGCACCUCGAUGUCGGCUCAUCGCAUCCUGGGGCUGUAGUCGGUCCCAAGGGUUGGGCUGUUCGCCCAUUAAAGCGGUACGCGAGCUGGGUUCAGAACGUCGUGAGACAGUUCGGUCCCUAUCCGUCGUGGGCGUAGGAAAUUUGAGAGGAGCUGUCCUUAGUACGAGAGGACCGGGAUGGACAUACCUCUGGUGUACCAGUUGUCGUGCCAACGGCAUAGCUGGGUAGCUAUGUGUGGACGGGAUAAGUGCUGAAAGCAUCUAAGCAUGAAGCCCCCCUCAAGAUGAGAUUUCCCAACUUCGGUUAUAAGAUCCCUCAAAGAUGAUGAGGUUAAUAGGUUCGAGGUGGAAGCAUGGUGACAUGUGGAGCUGACGAAUACUAAUCGAUCGAAGACUUAAUCAA
rnacentral:rRNA from 1 species